GCCUGAGUGGCUCAGUCAGUUAAGUGUCUGACUUCAGCUCAGGUCAUGAUCUCACAGUUCGUGAGUUUGAGCCCCACGUCAGGCU
rnacentral:tRNA from 1 species